AGCACAAUUGCUGAAUUAUAUGGUUAGCUUUGUAAGAAACUUUCAGACUGUCUUCUAAAAUGACUGUACCAUUUUUUUUUCAUUCCAACCAGCAAU
rnacentral:pre_miRNA from 1 species